GAUUGUCGAGGUCGUCAUCAGAGUGGCACACAAGAGACAAAGACACCCAUCAUGGUCAGCAAGAAAUGUCAUGAUAGGGUCCCAUGAUCCAAUCGGCCAGGUUGGAAGAUAGGGUUCAAAAGAGGAGCAAAAUGCUAAUGACUUAGUCACAAUAGCUUUAUGAUCCAUGCAUCACCACCACCAGUAGGAACAAGAGCGGGAAAAGAGGAAGAUGAAGAG
rnacentral:lncRNA from 1 species